rnacentral:rRNA from 1 species
UACGUAGGGUGCGAGCGUUGUCCGGAAUUAUUGGGCGUAAAGAGCUCGUAGGCGGCCUGACAGGUCUGCUGUGAAAACUCGAGGCUCAACCUCGAGAUGUCGGCGGAAACCGUCUGGCUAGAGUCCGGAAGAGGAGAGUGGAAUUCCUGGUGUAGCGGUGAAAUGCGCAGAUAUCAGGAAGAACACCCGUGGCGAAGGCGGCUCUCUGGGACGGUACUGACGCUGAGACGCGAAAGCGUGGGGAGCGAACAGG